GAUGAACGCUGGCGGCGUGCCUAAUACAUGCAAGUCGAGCGAACAGACGAGGAGCUUGCUCCUCUGACGUUAGCGGCGGACGGGUGAAUAACACGUGGAUAACCUACCUAUAAGACUGGGAUAACUUCGGGAAACCGGAGCUAAUACCGGAUAAUAUAUUGAACCGCAUGGUUCAAUAGUGAAAGACGGUUUUGCUGUCACUUAUAGAUGGAUCCGCGCCGCAUUAGCUAGUUGGUAAGGUAACGGCUUACCAAGGCGACGAUGCGUAGCCGACCUGAGAGGGUGAUCGGCCACACUGGAACUGAGACACGGUCCAGACUCCUACGGGAGGAAGCAGUAGGGAAUCUUCCGCAAUGGGCGAAAGCCUGACGGAGCAACGCCGCGUGAGUGAUGAAGGUCUUCGGAUCGUAAAACUCUGUUAUUAGGGAAGAACAAAUGUGUAAGUAACUAUGCACGUCUUGACGGUACCUAAUCAGAAAGCCACGGCUAACUACGUG
rnacentral:rRNA from 1 species